rnacentral:rRNA from 1 species
GAUCCUGGCUCAGGAUGAACGCUAGCUACAGGCUUAACACAUGCAAGUCGAGGGGCAGCAUUUUAGUUUGCUUGCAAACUGAAGAUGGCGACCGGCGCACGGGUGAGUAACACGUAUCCAACCUGCCGAUAACUCCGGAAUAGCCUUUCGAAAGAAAGAUUAAUACCGGAUAGUAUACGAAUAUCGCAUGGUAUUUUUAUUAAAGAAUUUCGGUUAUCGAUGGGGAUGCGUUCCAUUAGUUUGUUGGCGGGUAACGG